ACAGCAGUAGCCGCGGGAAUACGAGGGGGGCAAGCGUUGUUCGGAAUUAUUGGGCGUAAAGGGAGCGUAGGCGGUUUUGUAAGUCGUGUGUGAAAUCUUCAGGCUCAACCUGAAGUCUGCACACGAAACUGCAGGGCUUGAGUAUGGGAGAGGUGAGUGGAACUCCUGGUGUAGCGGUGAAAUGCGUAGAUAUCAGGAGGAACACCUGUGGCGAAAGCGGCUCACUGGACCAUUACUGACGCUGAGGCUCGAAAGCUAGGGGAGCAAACAGGAUUAGAUACCCCGGUAGUCCCUGUCUCUUAUAC
rnacentral:rRNA from 1 species